rnacentral:rRNA from 1 species
UGGGGAAUUUUGGACAAUGGGCGAAAGCCUGAUCCAGCAAUGCCGCGUGUGUGAAGAAGGCCUUCGGGUUGUAAAGCACUUUUGUCCGGAAAGAAAUCCUUGGCUCUAAUACAGUCGGGGGAUGACGGUACCGGAAGAAUAAGCACCGGCUAACUACGUGCCAGCAGCCGCGGUAAUACGUAGGGUGCAAGCGUUAAUCGGAAUUACUGGGCGUAAAGCGUGCGCAGGCGGUUUGCUAAGACCGAUGUGAAAUCCCCGGGCUCAACCUGGGAACUGCAUUGGUGAUUGGCAGGCUAGAGUAUGGCAGAGGGGGGUAGAAUUCCACGUGUAGCAGUGAAAUGCGUAGAGAUGUGGAGGAAUACCGAUGGCGAAGGCAGCCCCCUGGGCCAAUACUGACGCUCAUGCACGAAAGCGUGGGGAGCAAACAGGAUUAGAUACCCUGGGAUAGUCCACGCCCUAAACGAUGUCAACUAGUUGCUUGGGGAUUCAUUUCCUUAGUAACGUAGCU